rnacentral:snoRNA from 1 species
AACCAAAGCGUUGAGUUCAGUUCAGGGUGCUUCCCUUGUUCUGGUAAUUAAGCUUUGGGACAGUGAGUGGCUGGGGAGUGCACUAUGGUGACUAAAAGUUCGUUUUAUGCCACCUGUUUCUCAGCCUACAAAC